CCUACGGGCGGCAGCAGUGAGGAAUAUUGGUCAAUGGACGAGAGUCUGAACCAGCCAAGUAGCGUGAAGGAUGACUGCCCUAUGGGUUGUAAACUUCUUUUAUAUGGGAAUAAAAUGUUCCACGUGUGGGAUUUUGUAUGUACCAUAUGAAUAAGGAUCGGCUAACUCCGUGCCAGCAGGCGCGGUAAUACGGAGGGACAGAGCGUUAUCCGGGUUUAUUGGGGUUAAAAGGAGCGUAGGUGGAUUGUUAAGUCAGUUGUGAAAGUUUGCGGCUCAACCGUAAAAUUGCAGUUGAAACUGGCAGUCUUGAGUACAGUAGAGGUGGGCGGAAUUCGUGGUGUAGCGGUGAAAUGCUUAGAUAUCACGAAGAACUCCGAUUGCGAAGGCAGCUUACUGGACUGCAACUGACACUGAGGCUCGAAAGUGUGGGUAUCAAACAGGAUUAGAUACCCGUGUAGUC
rnacentral:rRNA from 1 species